rnacentral:ncRNA from 1 species
UAUAGUACGGAGAUAGGGACAGUAGUUUCUUACAUGAUUACGUUUAGCGAACCGAGGAAGGUGAGAGCUCGGUCUAAUCUAAGAAACGAAUAUCACCCUGGAGUAUUGCUGCUGAAACGAAGUAAGCAGCGACGUGUUAUUCACGUUACGAAUGCUGAGAGGACAAACGGAAGUGCUGUUUGUCUACAAGGGUGGUACCGCGGGAGACCUUCUCGUCCCUUUU